rnacentral:lncRNA from 1 species
AUAAGUUCAAAAUUUCAUCAGUACUUGCUUUGAUCACACUCCAGUGGAAAAUAUAAAAGAUAAAUAAACAAGGGGGAUAUCAAGUGCUAAAUCAAAAGAAUAGUCACAGAUGAUCAUAUUAUCCAAGAUGGGCAUUUUCCAAAAGUUGAACCCAAAAUAUUGAUAUCAGAGUUGCUUUCUAUGAAAGAAUUAAUCAGGACUUCAAAUAUCCACUACGCACUGUCAAAAUUUAUCUCAAAAUAAAGGAAAGAAUGCACCAAAAAGACCACAUCUCCUUUACUGAAUGGUGGAAGAAGGUUAUAUCGGGAUGAACACAUCCACACAAACCAGGAAGAAUUUCGAAAGAGAACCUGCACGUAUAAAGAUCACAACGAUCAGCACAGGAUCAAAGUUGUAGGAAUAUAAUUGAAGAAAGUUUACCACUUCCAGAAAGUUGCAUUUCUGUACUGAACAGUUGUACUUGUGACUGUUUAAGCAGAAAACAACUAAAAGAAACAAAAUCCCACAGACAAGUGAUAAUGUCUCACAAUUAGGAGCAGCUUUCAGCACAAAGAAAACACCGUUAUGGGACUAAUGCUAAUCUAUGUAAGCUCCUCAAAUCAACGAUAAGGAAAUAUGCUAUAGAAGUUUCAGGGGUAAAAUAUCGAGACAGAUCAGUUAAAGAAAAGUUAGAACUAAAGAGUAUAAUUAGGACUAACCUCUAUCAGUUGAUCAUCAUGCUCAGGCCUGUAACAAACAUCCACACACAAAAGCUGAUCUAGGUAUCACUUUCGUAUUUUCCUGAAAUGUAACAUAAAUCUCUUUCCAGCCAUCUUGCUGUAUGAUGUGAAUAAGAUGAUAAAUCUCCUCAUGUAGCAUUUGCUGAGCUGGUCUCUUUGG